rnacentral:rRNA from 1 species
AAUUAUUUAUUUGAUGGUUUCUUACUACAUGGAUACCCGUAGUAAUUCUAGAGCUAAUACAUGCGUAAAAUCCCAACUCUUGCGGGGAAGGAUGUAUUUAUUAGAUUAAAAACCAAUGCGGCCUUUGGUCGGUUUUGUGUUGAUUCAUAGUAACUUUUCGGAUCGCAUGGCUUCACGCCGGCGACAGUUCAUUCAAAUUUCUGCCCUAUCAGCUUUCGACGGUAGUGUAGUGGACUACCGUGGCAUUUACGGAUGACGGAGAAUUAGGGUUCGAUUCCGGAGAGGGAGCCUGAGAAACGGCUACCACA